rnacentral:hammerhead_ribozyme from 1 species
AUUCAACUGACGUGUCUCAAAUAGAACGAAACACGCAUCUUAGAU